rnacentral:rRNA from 1 species
GCUCCUAGUACGAGAGGACCGGAGUGGACGAACCUCUGGUGUUCCGGUUGUGACGCCAGUCGCAUUGCCGGGUAGCUACGUUCGGACGGGAUAACCGCUGAAAGCAUCUAAGCGGGAAGCCCCUCCCAAGACUAGUUCUCCCUGACCCCUUGAGGGUCCUAAAGAGCCGUCCAAGACUAGGACGUUGAUAGGCUGGGUGUGGAAGCGUUGUAAGGCGUUGAGCUAACCAGUACUAAUUGCUCGUGCGGCUUGACCAUAUAAUCCA